rnacentral:rRNA from 1 species
ACGGGAGGCAGCAGUGGGGAAUAUUGCACAAUGGGCGCAAGCCUGAUGUAGCGAUGCCGCGUGAGGGAAGAAGGUUUUCGGAUUGUAAACCUCUGUCAACAGGGACGAAAAUGACGGUACCUGUGAAGGAAGCUCCGGCUAACUACGUGCCAGCAGCCGCGGUAAUACGUAGGGAGCAAGCGUUAUCCGGAAUUACUGGGUGUAAAGGGAGUGUAGGCGGGACUGUAAGUCAGAUGUGAAAUAUGCCGGCUCAACUGGCAGACUGCAUUUGAAGCUGCGGUUCUUGAGUGAAGAAGAGGUAAGCGGAAUUCCUAGUGUAGCGGUGAAAUGCGUAGAUAUUAGGAGGAACAUCAGUGGCGAAGGCGGCUUACUGGGCUUUAACUGACGCUGAGGCUCGAAAGCGUGGGGAGCAAACAGGAUUAGAUACCCUGGUA